AGAAACUUCUAGAGGUUGAAGUGAGCCAGCUGGGCUGUGUGGACUCAGGAAACAAGUUACUGAAGUAAAAGAAGGGCCCUGGGAGACAGGCUCAGGGGGUUAGGCUGGGAUGAACUGUUUCCCUGAUUGUAAGUCCCCCGGAAACCUUUAGAGCUUAGGAGAAAGAAAAGCAAAGAUAUGUGCCUCAGGAAAGAAGUGGGGAAAGAUGCAGGCAUGUUCCAGAGCAGGAGAGUGUGUGAGCUCACUGGGUCCUUUAUCUUAAGAGUUUUUAUCUGUUUUCUAAAGGCAGAAAUUUUAGGGGAGGUCUCAGGGGAGGAUCUCAUAGAAUAUUCAUCAGCUUUCCAGGUGUGUCCUUUCAGGGUUGUGGCCUCUGUUGAUUGGUCGACAUUAAGGUAGGGGUCAUUGGUCCUUGCAUGGAGUCCUGAUGUCAGCCAUGGUGUUGCUUUGUCUGGUUUGGCUGCUUUUCUGGGCCUGGAGCUGAAACACAACUGAGGCCUAGGUGUUGUCUUUAG